AGACCUCUAAUCGGAGA
rnacentral:rRNA from 1 species